CCUGCUGUACGACCAGCAGUAGCCCAGGAAGACAGGCAUUUCUGGUAACGGAUUUGUCUGAAGCUCUUCCGGAAUGUAGCCCACCGCAAGGUGUCCGCCCGGUCGUGAGGCAGGGAUGGCGAUCCUCGAAGCAGCAUCGGGGUGAGGCG
rnacentral:ncRNA from 1 species